rnacentral:rRNA from 1 species
AACGAACGCUGGCGGCAUGCCUAACACAUGCAAGUCGAACGAUCCCUUCGGGGAUAGUGGCGCACGGGUGCGUAGCGCGUGGGAACCGGACCUUAGGGUCGGAAUAACUCAGAGAAAUUUGAGAUAAUACCGGAUAAUAUCUUCGGACCAAAGAUUUAUCGCCUUUGGAUGGGCCCGCGUUGGAUUAGCUCGUUGGUGGGGUAAAGGCCUACCAAGGCGACGAUCCAUAACUUGUCUGAGAGGAUGAUCAGCCACACUGGGACGGAGACACGGCCCAGACUCCUACGGGAGGCAGCAGUGGGGAAUAUUGGACAAUGGGCGAAAGCCUGAUGCAGCAAGGCCGGGUGAGUGAUGAAGGCCUUAGGGUUGUAAAGCUUUUGUAACUGUGAUAAUCAUGACAGUACCGGGAGAAUAAGCCCCGGCUAACUCCGUG